GGGCAGUGCUGCUGACUGAGGUGGCCCGGGUGAGAGGCGCAGUGCUUUGAGGACUCACGUGGCUUUCCAAAUCCCAUGGCCACCCAUGUGGAGGAGAUAUUUUCAGUUUACAGUUGAAGAUGCUGAGGCUCUGAGAGCUUAAAUGACUUGUCUCAGUGUGGGCAGAAUAACAGCCUCCCAAAGAUGUCCACAUCCUAAUCCCCAGAACCCAUGAACAUGUUCCCUUACAUGGCAGAAGGGACUUUGCAGAUGGGAUUAAGGAUCUCGUGGUGGAGAGAUUAUCCUGAUUGUCUGUGUGGGCCCAGUGUCAUCACUAGGGUCCUUUAAACUGGACGAGGGAGGCAGGAGACUGAGGUGGUGUGAGGGAGAUGGAAGGGAGCCCAGGAACGUAGGCAGAUGUGGGAAGCUGGAAAAGGCAGGAAAAUGGGUUCCCCUGUGGAGUCUCCAGGGGGACCGCAGCCCCACAGCUUGAUUUCAGCCAGUGAGACUGUUUUGAACUUCUGGCCUCCAGAGCUGCAGUGAAUGCUGGAAGCCAAGCUUGCACAUUCUAGGCAGCCAUUUGGAAGAUUCUUCUCUGCGCAUGACCAGCUGAAAAGGAAAAACCCCGAAACAUUGGCACUGUGAUUUCUCCAUGUGAACAGUUUAGUUCGCCGAGGGGGACAUGCCUCAUUCAUGCUUAUGGAGUGACCGACCAGCCUUUAGUGACACCCCCUGAAAUGUGAGUCAUCCAUGGGUCACUAGUCAUUGGAGAAGAGCCCCUCACACAAAAAUUGGAGCUCAGACCACAAACAACAACAACAAUCCAAAAAAUAAAAAAAUGAAAAAUUAGGAGCAGAGACUAAAUGGAAAGAUGGAAAUAUUAAAAUAAAAAUAUUAUUUUAAAAAUUAA